AGAGUUUGAUCCUGGCUCAGGAUGAACGCUAGCUACAGGCUUAACACAUGCAAGUCGAGGGGCAGCAUGUUGGUUGCUUGCAACCAACGAUGGCGACCGGCGCACGGGUGAGUAACGCGUAUCCAACCUACCCUUGUCCAUCGGAUAACCCGUCGAAAGGCGGCCUAACACGAUAUGCGGUUCACAGCAGGCAUCUAACGUGAACGAAAUGUAAAGGAGAAGGAUGGGGAUGCGUCUGAUUAGCUUGUUGGCGGGGUAACGGCCACAAGGCUACGAUCAGUAGGGGUUCUGAGAGGAAGGUCCCCCANAUUGGGAACUGGAGACACGGUCCAAACUCCUACGGGAGCCA
rnacentral:rRNA from 1 species